AUUUUUAGAGAGUUUGAUCCUGGCUCAGGAUGAACGCUGGCGGCGUGCCUAACACAUGCAAGUCGAACGGAGCACUGAGACUUCGGUUUUUGUGCUUAGUGGCGGACGGGUGAGUAACGCGUGAGCAAUCUGCCUUUCAGAGGGGGAUAACGACUGGAAACGGUCGCUAAUACCGCAUAACGUAUUUUGCAGGCAUCUGCGAGAUACCAAAGGAGCAAUCCGCUGAAAGAUGAGCUCGCGUCUGAUUAGAUAGUUGGUGAGGUAACGGCCCACCAAGUCGACGAUCAGUAGCCGGACUGAGAGGUUGAACGGCCACAUUGGGACUGAGACACGGCCCAGACUCCUACGGGAGGCAGCAGUGGGGAAUAUUGCGCAAUGGGGGAAACCCUGACGCAGCAACGCCGCGUGAUCGAAGAAGGUCUUCGGAUUGUAAAGAUCUUUUAUCAGGGACGAAGAAAGUGACGGUACCUGAUGAAUAAGCUCCGGCUAACUACGUGCCAGCAGCCGCGGUAAUACGUAGGGAGCGAGCGUUAUCCGGAUUUACUGGGUGUAAAGGGCGAGUAGGCGGGCUGGUAAGUUGGAAGUGAAAUGUCGGGGCUUAACCCCGGAACUGCUUUCAAAACUGCUGGUCUUGAGUGAUGGAGAGGCAGGCGGAAUUCCUAGUGUAGCGGUGAAAUGCGUAGAUAUUAGGAGGAACACCAGUGGCGAAGGCGGCCUGCUGGACAUUAACUGACGCUGAGGAGCGAAAGCGUGGGGAGCAAACAGGAUUAGAUACCCUGGUAGUCCACGCCGUAAACGAUGGAUACUAGGUGUGGGAGGUAUUGACCCCUUCCGUGCCGCAGUUAACACAAUAAGUAUCCCACCUGGGGAGUACGACCGCAAGGUUGAAACUCAAAGGAAUUGACGGGGGCCCGCACAAGCAGUGGAGUAUGUGGUUUAAUUCGAAGCAACGCGAAGAACCUUACCUGGUCUUGACAUCCCGGUGACCGGCAUAGAGAUAUGCCUUUCCCUUCGGGGACAGCGGUGACAGGUGGUGCAUGGUUGUCGUCAGCUCGUGUCGUGAGAUGUUGGGUUAAGUCCCGCAACGAGCGCAACCCUUAUUGUUAGUUGAUACAUUUAGUUGAUCACUCUAGCGAGACUGCCGUUGACAAAACGGAGGAAGGUGGGGACGACGUCAAAUCAUCAUGCCCCUUAUGACCAGGGCUACACACGUACUACAAUGGCAGACAUACAGAGGGAAGCAAAGCUGUGAGGCAGAGCAAAUCCCUAAAAGCUGUCCCAGUUCAGAUUGCAGGCUGCAACCCGCCUGCAUGAAGUCGGAAUUGCUAGUAAUCGCGGAUCAGCAUGCCGCGGUGAAUACGUUCCCGGGCCUUGUACACACCGCCCGUCACACCAUGAGAGCCGGUAAUGCCCGAAGUCCGUAGUCUAACCGCAAGGAGGACGCGGCCGAAGGCAGGACUGGUAAUUAGGGUGAAGUCGUAACAAGGUAGCCGUAUCGGAAGGUGCGGCUGGAUCACCUCCUUUCUAAGGA
rnacentral:rRNA from 1 species